rfam:Apaloderma vittatum contig94258, whole genome shotgun sequence.
GGCCAAUUAGCUCAGUGGUUUGAGCGCAGUGCUGACAACAACGACCAGUACCGAGGUCGCGGGUUCGAUUCCCGCUUGGUCC